AACGAACGCUGGCGGCAUGCCUAACACAUGCAAGUCGAACGAGACCUUCGGGCCUAGUGGCGCAAGGGUGCGUAACGCGUGGGAACCUGCCCUUAGGUUCGGAAUAACUCCCCGAAAGGGGUGCUAAUACCGGAUAAUGUCUUCGGACCAAAGAUUUAUCGCCUUUGGAUGGGCCCGCGUUGGAUUAGCUAGUUGGUAGGGUAAAACCCUACCAAGGCGACGAUCCAUAGCUGGUCUGAGAGGAUGAUCAGCCACACUGGGGCUGAGACACGGCCCAGACUCCUACGGGAGGCAGCAGUGGGGAAUAUUGGACAAUGGGCGAAAGCCUGAUCCAGCAAUGCCGCGUGAGUGAUGAAGGCCUUAGGGUUGUAAAGCUCUUUUACCCGGGAUGAUAAUGACAGUACCGGGAGAAUAAACUCCGGCUAACUCCGU
rnacentral:rRNA from 1 species